UAUCUUGUAAUAUAUUUAGAUAUUACCAUUUGAGAUCAUUCUACAUGUGUAAUAUGGUGUCUUGACUUUUUCACUUAACAUGUCCUAAACAUUUUGUCAUGUCAUUAAAAACAUUAUAUAAUCAUUUAGUUUUCAUGGUUACAUAAUAAUAAUCCAUCACAUUAUAUUAUUUUGAUUGACUUAGUCAUUCUCCUUUUAUUUGGCAAUUAGUGUUUGGAACUUUUUGGGUUGGUGUUAGGUUGCUUUUAGAUCAUUCUAACUUACUAGGCCAGGCUUUUUUAGGAGUUGAGCCUUGUGUUUGCUUUUGAGGUUGGUUUUUUUGUGUUGACUGUGUGACUUAAGCUGGGAUUUUAAAUGUCUGACCCUAUAUUCUCAGACUUUUGCCUUCUGUUCUGGACUAUCUCCAUGCUUGUUUGCUUUUCAAUCUUUCUUUGGUGAGUUUCUUUUCAUAAUCCUGUGCUGGAAGAAAGAUGAAUGGAGACCAGGAUUAGUAUUUUGGUCUCUGACCCUGCAGUGCCACGUGAAUGCCCAGGAACUAGCCAGAGUAAACAGCAGUUGCAUGUUAAUGGAUCUUUACUGAGGUAACCAUGCCGAGAAGUUUCUAGUGAGAAGACUGUCCUAAAUUGUUCUUGACAAGCUUAAGAGUUGGACAGUGGAGGACCUUCGGAAGAGGCUCUUGGCCCUCGACCCCAUGAUGGAGCAGGAGAUUGAAGAGAUCCGGCAGAAGUACCAGUCCAAGCGGCAGCCCAUCUUGGAUGCCAUUGAGGCGAAGAAGCGGCGGCAGCAGAACUUCUGAGCCAGGCCAGCGGAAGGGCCCACUCCCACACGGCCCUCGGUGAGCUCGGCUCGCUCGCUGCUCAGGCGUGUUAGCCACCACUCUGCCGUUGCUUCUCCACGCACCUUUGUGAACUCAGGAACGUGCGCCAGAGGGAAGGGCUGUCUCGCUGGUUAGCGAGCGAGAUGUCUUGGUGUGUGUGAGUGUCUCAGUCGGUCAGGUUUAUUAUCUCAAAGGACUUAUAUGGGCACUUUUAAACUCAGAGUUUCAAACCCCAGGAACAGAGACGCCUAGUCCAAUGGUAGCUGGGAAAGUUUUACAUUGUCUUUUGUUUUUCUUCUCCCAAUAGCUUUCAACUGUUCUCUCUGGAAGACUUUUUAAAAACUAUAAAUAUGCAUAUAUGUGUAAAUUGUAACUAGAUUCCCCACUCAGUGUGGUGGCAUCUCUGUACAGGUACAGUUCUAAGCAGUUUGCCUCUUUUCUGUGAGAUUAUGGUACUGUGGAACAGAGGGCAGGCACCCUGGGGCCAUGGGGCCACUCCACUCCCAGGAGCCAACCUCACCCUUUUGCAGGGCUGCUUAUUUAAAAAUUAGGUCCGGGCCAGUUUUCACCACAUUUCAGCCUUGCGUGGGUCAUCCCUAGCUCCCGGAGCUGCUGGUGGCGCUCAAGGGAAAGCCUUGAGAGUCCUGUUUACUUUAAGUCCCAGGAGAAGCCUGGCGCCUUCUCUGCAAAUUGGCCUUUGUGGUUUCAGCGCCUUUUAUCCACCUCCACUCUCCCGACUGCCUGAGUCACAGCACAGAUCCUGCCCAGUGCCUUAAGAGGAGACAUGACCCAGUGAGGGGACAGGCCUGCUAGGAUCUCCCGGCAAACACGGGGCUAUGAUCAGUCCACAACAGGGAAAGGGCUUUGAAGUUCUCAUUGUUCAUGUGAAGGUCACACGUGUGGCAUUUUGCACUGCAUUCCUUACAGACGGGUAGCGGGCAUUGAUUUUGUGAUCCACAUUCAAAUAUGUGACUUUUUUAUUUUACUGCUAAGGGGUCUGGAAGGGAUAGUGAAUGUCAGACUAAGAUUUGUUCUCCAGGAGGCUCAACACAGACACGUGGAAGCCAGAGCUGGAAGGGACCCUAGCUGUCAUCUGGUGUGGCUGAGGCUUGGAGAGGGCAAGCAGCAUGACCAAAAUCACAAAGCAGGUGGAAGUGGGAGCUGGGACUACACCUCGGGCUGCUCCCUCCCCCAUUCACUGAACCGAGCAGCCCCUUCUCCAAGGGAAGAGACCUGUGUCACGUUUGGUUAAGUUACUCCAGGCAAGCCUGCUAAUGGGAACUUGCUCUUGCUUUGUCCCUUCAAUGGGUGAGGCUAUGAAGAGAUUCCCAGGGGAGCCAGAUCUUGUGCCAGCCACUCCAUGGCCUCUGCACCAUCUGCCGGAUAGCAGACAGGCCUCGUGCAGGCAGAUUUAAGGCCAAAAGCAGAGCAGAAGGCUCGAAGAAGACAGCACUGAGCCCUUCUGCAGCGUUGGCUCGGGGCCACCUGUCACUUAGUCACACGGCAAAGAGGAGACAGUUGGGAAGGGCAAAUGUGUUUUUAUUUUCAAAUAUCUCUUCCUCUCAGAUAGGGGGCUGUGCCAGGGUUGCACCUAAGGACACUGAAAUUUGACCCCAGAAUUGUUUUUGCUUCCCAAACCUGGGAAUCAAUGGGAAGGCAGGGAAUGUUCCUCUUCUGUGGCCAGAUUCUGUUCUUUGCAAUUAAAGCAAGUUUUAAAAAAUGCAAGAGGCAGUUGUUCUGCAGGGCUUGGCCAGUUAAGCAGCUGUGUGGCAGAGACAGAGAACAGAGGACAAUUUGAGGGUCUCCCUGGAAUUAUAAAUGGCAGCUAGCAUUCGCUGACCACAUGAUGUGCCAGGCACAUUGCUCAGUAGACUCUUUCUGUCAGCUCCAAAUUUCACAAUAACUCUGUGAGUUAAGGACUUUAUCUCCAUUUCAUAGACAAAGAAACGGGUUCGGAGAAGGCAGUACCGCUAGUAAGUGAUAGAACCAGGAUUCGUAACAUCACUGUAUGGGACCAGCAUUUACAGGGGAAAGUCUCUUUUUAAUGAAGGGACCACCUUUUCUCACUCAGACUAAAUAACUCUUAACGGGCAUUUUUAAGCUUGGAAGCAGCUGAAUUAGUAGUCAAGUCUGACAGCCAAGUGAGUUUUAAAAACCAUAUCAUGGAGCAGGCACUCCCCCACACCAGCUGCUGUGCUAAUUAGCAGUCCGGCCUCGGCCUCUUGCUUUUUUAAAAAGGACUUUGCACUUGGCCAGACAGGAGGGCAAUGCCCUUUUCCUGUCUUCCUAAGCUAGAGCUAAGUAAAACAAGUUUCAGUUUUUCCCCAUAAAUAUUCUUGAAUCUUGAUCUGGAGUUUAUUUUGUUUCAAGCAUGUGUGCACCCAACAUGCUGGUCCAACAAAGUGCAUUGCUCUUCAGUCUAGCUGGACAUAGUCUUCUGCCAGAAAUCAAUUUCUUUUGGAUCAGAUAAACUUCCUGACCAGUUGUAUUUGUUUUCUAGUGACAGGAAGGCAGAGGAGCAAAUCCUAGUCAUGUUUUGCCUUGAAUACUAAUGGAGCCCUGAGUGGCAGUCAUUGCUCAAGCACUUGUGACUCAAGCUUCCAGGGAACUCGUAGCCCCUUGUUCUCUCCUUCUAAGAAACGAUGACCCACACCUAAUAGUGUCUUUAAAAAAUCUCGAAUUCUCUAAGAAUAUCUUUAUUGCUUCCUCAUCAAUAAUUUUUAAGCAAAUUUCUAUUUUUCCUUCUCCAUUAUUCCUUCUCCCAACCAUUCGGUUGAUGGAUGAGUGUUUGGGUGGGUGGAUGGAUGGAUGGAUGGAUGAUUGAUAGACAGACAGACCAACUGACGCAAUACUCUGAAGCAACUUAAGAACUGUAACCUUAACUUCUUGAGACUACAGAUUCUGAUCCAGGUAAUGUUUAUUUAGCACCUAGCAGGUGCCAGAAAUUUAUUAUACCAUUUAAAACUCAGUAGCUCUUAGCAACAUCAGGAAUGAGAGAGGUCUUUAUUGAUCCGACAGGCUAAUAUUAUGAACAACUUUAUGAACAAUUUUAUGCUAAUAAAUUCAACAACUUAAGUGAAAUAGACUAAUUGAAAGUAAAAAGUACUAAACUCACUCAAGAAGAAAUAGAUAAGCUGAAUAGUCCUAUAUUAAAACAUAAUAGCUCUGGGAGAUCUAGGUAUUUAAAACAUAAUAGCUCUGGAAGAUACAGGUAUAUUGUCCUCCUUUACAGAUAAGGAAGCAGGCUCACAGAGAUGAAGUCUGUUGCUCAAGGUUACAUAGCUAGAAUUUGGCAGAGCCAGGAUUCAAAUUCAGUUCUGAUUCUUAUUCCAGUGCCCUUUCCAGCAUACCAUGUUGCCUCUAAAGAUUGCAGCUCCUUAUUUACUAUAAAACUGUUUCUGUCCACUCCACACCCUCUCACCCCAUCCUUUCUUAAGCACUGUGUUUGUGUUUUCAUCAGGAUUAUAUUCAUUGUCUUUGGAAUCCAUGUUCUUAUUUGUGUUUGGGGGGGGGGAAAUUCUUCCACCAGCUUGUACGCAGAUCAACUUGGAAAAAAAUGCAUAAAUGCUGUUGCAGAUGUACAACUUAAAAAAAAAUGUGAAGUUUGUAGCUUUAACUUUUUGUAACAAGAACUAAUAACACUGGCUUUAGUGUUGACUUGAAAUGCUGUUUUAUAAGGUUUGGAUGUAAAUAAUCAGUCAAAGUCAGUAGUUUGUAUAUGUAUGAGACAUAGCUUCCUUCUUCACCUUGUUUUUAAUUUGAGAUGCUUCCUAUGUGCUCUUAUGUUGGAAUUGUCUUCCCUCCUUCCUUCUUCCUAUACCUUUGUUUUAAAUAAAGGCUGUCCUUUUUCUAAAUAUGA